UGGGGAAUCUUCCGCAAUGGACGAAAGUCUGACGGAGCAACGCCGCGUGAGUGAUGACGGCCUUCGGGUUGUAAAGCUCUGUUAAUCGGGACGAAUGGUUCUUGUGCGAAUAGUGCAAGGAUUUGACGGUACCGGAAUAGAAAGCCACGGCUAACUACGUGCCAGCAGCCGCGGUAAUACGUAGGUGGCAAGCGUUGUCCGGAAUUAUUGGGCGUAAAGCGAGCGCAGGCGGAUUGGUCAGUCUGUCUUAAAAGUUCGGGGCUUAACCCCGUGAUGGGAUUGAAACUGCCAAUCUAGAGUAUCGGAGAGGAAAGUGGAAUUCCUAGUGUAGCGGUGAAAUGCGUAGAUAUUAGGAAGAACACCAGUGGCGAAGGCGACUUUCUGGACGAAAACUGACGCUGAGGCGCGAAAGCCAGGGGAGCGAACGGG
rnacentral:rRNA from 1 species